rnacentral:tRNA from 1 species
CGGGAUGUAGCGCAGCCCGGUUAGCGCGCCAGCUUCGGGAGUUGGAGGUCCCGAGUUCGAAUCUCGGUAUCCCGACAA